AAGUCGUAACAAGGUUUCCGUAGGUGAACCUGCGGAAGGAUCAUUAAUGCUACUUUCCGCUUGAGGAAUUGGUUGGUCCGGUGAUUUUAUUUGCCUGCUUCCCAUUCCACAAGCGUGAACUUGUAUCUCUUAUCUUAAACGCUUAAGGAAAUUUUUAAUUUCCCUAACGUACCAAGUAACUUGAGAAGCCUUUGCUGUUUUUUCGGAGAUGGCAAAGUGUUUUUCUCACUUUUUUUUUACUACCAUAAUUACCCUAUUAACUUAUAAACUAUUAGACUGAUAUAAAAUAACAUUUAUUUUAUAAAUGUAAUACAACUCUUAGCAAUGGAUAUCUAGGCUCUU
rnacentral:misc_RNA from 1 species